CUACGUGCCAGCAGCCGCGGUAAUACGGAAGGUCCAGGCGUUAUCCGGAUUUAUUGGGUUUAAAGGGUGCGUAGGCCGUUUGAUAAGCGUGCUGUGAAAUAUAGUGGCUCAACCUCUAUCGUGCAGCGCGAACUGUCGAACUUGAGUGCGUAGUAGGUAGGCGGAAUUCGUGGUGUAGCGGUGAAAUGCUUAGAUAUCACGAAGAACUCCGAUUGCGAAGGCAGCUUACCGUAACGUUACUGACGCUUAAGCACGAAGGUGCGGGUGUCGAACAGGAUUAGAUACCCUGGUAGUCCGCACAGUAAACGAUGGAUGCUCGCUGUCGGCCUUUUUGGUCAGUGGCUUAGCGAAAGCGUUAAGCAUCCCACCUGGGGAGUACGCCGGCAACGGUGAAACUCAAAGGAAUUGACGGGGGCCCGCACAAGCGGAGGAACAUGUGGUUUAAUUCGAUGAUACGCGAGGAACCUUACCCGGGCUUGAACUGCAGCUGAACGAUUCAGAGA
rnacentral:rRNA from 1 species